UGUGGUGUAAUUGCUAAAGUGAAAAGUUGGAAAUAUAUUGUUUGGUGUUUUAUACAAUGAAUUGAAACAUGAAAUCCAACACUAGUGAAGUCUUUACCGGAUUGUCAAUUUCAUCACACUACAGUAAAAACGUAUAUUUCCAACAGAUAAUUAUCGAUGAAUGUCAAUCCUUCUGUAAUACACAUUUACAGGUGGAUUUAUCGACGAAAUAUGGAUGGUUACUUAUUGAUGGAUAUAUCUGUCAGUAAUGUCCUCGAUAAAGGAUAUGAUCAUUAUCGAGGGAUUAUGAUCGUCGGUAAUACCCUCAGUAAUUUCCUUUAUCGAGGGAUUGUGACUGUUGGUUUGUGCUUCAAGAAAAUGAAAUCAGAAUUUGGCAUUUCCCUUCAUGAUUUCACUUUGAAGAAAACAUUUUCUUCCCCUCACAUGCUCACUACUCUUCCUUAAUCUCCACCUCUUGUUAGUCAUAUGCCCACUACUCUACCACAACCUCCAUUGUCAUUUGGUCUUCCCGAACCUCCAUUUUCCUUCAACUUUGGCCUUCCUUAAUUAACCUCAUUUUCUUUUAGUCCCCAAUCGCAUUCUUCAACGUUGUCUUCCCUGCACACGCUCAUUGCUUUGUCCUAAUCUCUCCCUCUUAUUGUUCACAUGCCCACAGCUUUACCCCAACCUCCAUUGCCCUUCAACUCUGCACUUCCCUAACCUCGAUUUCUUUUAGUCCCCAUUCACGUUCUUCUCUUCCCAUACCUCUAUUGCACUUCACUCCAUCAACCUUCAUUUCUUUUAGUCAUGUUGUAUUG
rnacentral:lncRNA from 1 species